ACACGUGGGAAACCUGCCCAGAAGCGGGGGAUAACACCUGGAAACAGAUGCUAAUACCGCAUAACAACUUGGACCGCAUGGUCCGAGUUUGAAAGAUGGCUUCGGCUAUCACUUUUGGAUGGUCCCGCGGCGUAUUAGCUAGAUGGUGGGGUAACGGCUCACCAUGGCAAUGAUACGUAGCCGACCUGAGAGGGUAAUCGGCCACAUUGGGACUGAGACACGGCCCAAACUCCUACGGGAGGCAGCAGUAGGGAAUCUUCCACAAUGGACGAAAGUCUGAUGGAGCAACGCCGCGUGAGUGAAGAAGGGUUUCGGCUCGUAAAACUCUGUUGUUAAAGAAGAACAUAUCUGAGAGUAACUGUUCAGGUAUUGACGGUAUUUAACCAGAAAGCCACGGCUAACUACGUGCCAGCAGCCGCGGUAAUACGUAGGUGGCAAGCGUUGUCCGGAUUUAUUGGGCGUAAAGCGAGCGCAGGCGGUUUUUUAAGUCUGAUGUGAAAGCCUUCGGCUCAACCGAAGAAGUGCAUCGGAAACUGGGAAACUUGAGUGCAGAAGAGGACAGUGGAACUCCAUGUGUAGCGGUGAAAUGCGUAGAUAUAUGGAAGAACACCAGUGGCGAAGGCGGCUGUCUGGUCUGUAACUGACGCUGAGGCUCGAAAGUAUGGGUAGCAAACAGGAUUAGAUACCCUGGUAGUCCAUACCGUAAACGAUGAAUGCUAAGUGUUGGAAGGGUUUCCGCCCUUCAGUGCUGCAGCUAACGCAUUAAGCAUUCCGCCUGGGGAGUACGGCCGCAAGGCUGAAACUCAAAGGAAUUGACGGGGGCCCGCACAAGCGGUGGAGCAUGUGGUUUAAUUCGAAGCUACGCGAAGAACCUUACCAGGUCUUGACAUACUAUGCAAAUCUAAGAGAUUAGACGUUCCCUUCGGGGACAUGGAUACAGGUGGUGCAUGGUUGUCGUCAGCUCGUGUCGUGAGAUGUUUGGGUUAAGUCCCGCAACGAGCGCAACCCUUAUUAUCAUUUGCCAGCAUUAAAUUGGGCACUCUGGUGAGACUGCCGGUGACAACCCGAGGAAAAGGGGGGGAUAAGGCCAAACAUCCAUG
rnacentral:rRNA from 1 species